GCGGCGGCACGUGGGACGGAUCUCUUGGAUUUACCCGUAACGAGGAGCGGCGCACCCCAGGAGCCCCGGCAGCACCCCAGGAGCCCCGGCAGCACCCCAGGAGCCCCGGCAGCACCCCAGGAGCCCCGGCAGCACCCCAGGAGCCCCGGCAGCACCCCAGGAGCCCCGGCAGCACCCCAGGAGCCCCGGCAGCACCCCAGGAGCCCCGGCAGCACCCCAGGAGCCCCGGCAGCACCCCAGGAGCCCCGGCAGCACCCCAGGAGCCCCGGCAGCACCCCAGGAGCCCCGGCAGCACCCCAGGAGCCCCGGCAGCACCCCAGGAGCCCCGGCAGCACCCCAGGAGCCCCGGCAGCACCCCAGGAGCCCCGGCAGCACCCCAGGAGCCCCGGCAGCACCCCAGGAGCCCCGGCAGCACCCCAGGAGCCCCGGCAGCACCCCAGGAGCCCCGGCAGCACCCCAGGAGCCCCGGCAGCACCCCAGGAGCCCCGGCAGCACCCCAGGAGCCCCGGCAGCACCCCAGGAGCCCCGGCAGCACCCCAGGAGCCCCGGCAGCACCCCAGGAGCCCCGGCAGCACCCCAGGAGCCCCGGCAGCACCCCAGGAGCCCCGGCAGCACCCCAGGAGCCCCGGCAGCACCCCAGGAGCCCCGGCGCGCCACCCUCCCCGGAGGGGGAUCCCGGCGCGCCACCCUCCCCGGAGGGGGAUCCCGGCGCGCCACCCUCCCCGGAGGGGGAUCCCGGCGCGCCACCCUCCCCGGAGGGGGAUCCCGGCGCGCCACCCUCCCCGGAGGGGGAUCCCGGCGCGCCACCCUCCCCGGAGGGGGAUCCCGGCGCGCCACCCUCCCCGGAGGGGGAUCCCGGCGCGCCACCCUCCCCGGAGGGGGAUCCCGGCGCGCCACCCUCCCCGGAGGGGGAUCCCGGCGCGCCACCCUCCCCGGAGGGGGAUCCCGGCGCGCCACCCUCCCCGGAGGGGGAUCCCGGCGCGCCACCCUCCCCGGAGGGGGAUCCCGGCGCGCCACCCUCCCCGGAGGGGGAUCCCGGCGCGCCACCCUCCCCGGAGGGGGAUCCCGGCGCGCCACCCUCCCCGGAGGGGGAUCCCGGCGCGCCACCCUCCCCGGAGGGGGAUCCCGGCGCGCCACCCUCCCCGGCAACAACCUGUUGCCAUGUAUGGCGAUUUGUAUCAGUCACAAGCACACAACCCCUGCUAGUAUUAAUGGUGUUUAAAACGUUCUACACGUACGGCGGACCGCAUCCGUCGCAAGCACGCGCAUAUAACCCCCAAAUGCACAAUGAUGAGAAGCACAGCCACGCGUCAAAAAACUUUAAAAACAUCGUUAUCCAAUAUCAUUAAAAACCACACCGAAAUUUACACAGGUAGCACGUCACCGUGUUAGUGUCACCCACUGUACACAAGGCGUGUCGUAUAUGUAGUAUAGGUAUUUGAUGAGGCGGAAGCAUAUCCCGCUUCCAGCGAACGGAAAUAAGAAUCAUCCGUUCCAGCAUUUAUUCAAAGGGGGCACAGAGGAUUCACAUUGUUUAGAGAGAGUUUUUCUUAGUCACCAUUCCAUACUUGGGCAGUAUUGGCCUACGAUUUGGGCGACGUUUCAGGCUGGUCUAUUCUCCGUCCACUUUUCCCCGGCUAUUCUGUCCCAGCAUAGGCUCUUGAAAUAAACAAUGUUUACCGAGUAAAA
rnacentral:misc_RNA from 1 species